CGAAUUAUUUUGGGCGCCCGAUCUAUUUACACUCGGUUCUGUCUCUCACACACACAAACACAGGAUAUACACUUCUGUGUCAAACACUAGCAAACCUCACCCUCACCAUCCCUGCUAACAGUUACCAUCGAACUUCCACCACCAACCAUCGCGGCUCUCGCCACCGUCGCUCACCAUCGCGGCCCCCCUCCCAGCCACAUUCAGGUUGCUGAAUGUACUGAGCAAUGGGGAAAGUGUUGAUCUUGUCUUUGAGUGUCUAGACCUGGACCUGAAGAAGUUCAUUAAUUCUUAUCCAGAGAUUGCAAAGGAUCCACAUAUGAUAAAAAGAUUUAUGCAUUAGAUUCUUCGCGGAGUCGCCUAUUGCCAUGCUCAUGAAAUUCUACAUCGAGAUUUGAAACCUCGGAAUCUUCUGAUAAAUCGCAAUAACAAAAUGGUGAAGCUUGCUGACUUUGGGUUGGCCAGGACAUUUGAUGUUCCUCUCAGGACCUAUACUGGCAAUGUAUGUCACUCUUCAAUGCUAUUUGUACUAAAUUUUGUUUUAUAUCUGACAAUUUUGUUGAAUAGAAGUUGAUAGUAACUACAAAUACAAAAUGUUGUUUAUGUAGCAAAAGAAAUAGUUGUGAGCUUUCUUCUAGGAUUUUCAAACCUAAUAAUUUCAAUAUUGCACCUGAUGUUACAUUUGGAAGUGCAUUUGUCAUGCAUAACCAAAUCAAAUGAAACUAAGUCUUGUGUCCCAAUCAAGUGCAUUUGUAAUGCAUGAUAUACAAAAAUAACUCUUUUCAAAAUUUGCAUAUGUAAGUGUUCUUUCUGAUUGUUGGCUGGAUAAUUAAAGCAAGUUUACACUUUGAUAUAUUGGGGCAUCAGUGAAAGAAAAUGUCUUCACGGGAUUAGGCUGAGAUCUUUGUGAAAUUAAGUAGGGAAGUUACUUUUCACUCAAGAUCAUCUUCAACAAAAAUGUUACUCUUUUUUUUUUACUCUUUUUCCAGAAUGCCAACAGGAAAUUGAGAGGUACGUAAAAAAAAAAAAAAUUCGUUUGUCUUCCCAUUAAAAAACUGGAGCUUCUCUCUCUCUUUCAAUUUAAAUUGUCAGUGCAGAAAAGGGUAUACUCUCUCUCUCUCUCUCUGAGGGGAAAAAUUUGAGGGGAAAAAUAUUUAUUUAAAUCAUAAAAAUCUUUUUUUUUUUAUCAGUAAAAAGAAGAGAGACUUUAUUGAUAUAAAACCAAUGUACAAAAGGAAAUUACAUCAAUAAAGGCAAAGAAAGGGUAGGUGCAAAGUGUAUCAUAGCAAUACAAUUGAUCCCAAUUAGGUCCACAUGCAAGCACACCACUGAGGGUUGGUGAGGGGCCAACCAAAGCAGCCAAACAGACCCCAAAAAUAUCCCAAAAAAAAAGAAAAAACAGAGCAAAAGAAAGGAACAUGAGCAGCAACAAACCAGAUUUUCAAGAUCAAAUUAUCAUAAAAAUUUUAGCAGUUGAGUUUGGUUUCAACUAUCCCAAUCUCUUUUCCAAGACACCUAAAGUUAGUCAAAUUCAGUUACUUUCAUACUGUAAAUUUGUCUGUCAAUAUAGAUGUAUAUAAUUUUGUUUAUUACAUGACUGUCUGUAAGCAUGUAUUGUUAUCCUCUUCUUUUUUUCUUAUUCUUUCUCCUUUUUGUGGGGGACUUAUGAAUUGCAAUACUUUUCUGUCUUUUCUUGACAUUUUUUUAGUGACUAUUACUAUGAUCAUGUGCGUCCCGUUAGAAAAACACAUUAGUAGGAGAUAUUGUCAUAGUACUUUUGAGAAUUUUUAUUGUAACUUUGAGUUUUUUUUUUACAAUAUUGUCAUAUUGUCAUAUAGUCUUUGAGUUGCAAACUCUGAGUUUUUUUUUUUUUUUUUUUAAAUUUAUAAAUAUUUUCAAAAAUCAAACUAUUUAUCGAAGUAACUAAUUUUUCAAACUAUUUAUCAAAUUAUCCUAUUUUUUUAAAAGCGCAUGCUCAAAAUGCGAUUUCAUAUUGACUUGACUUACUGAUAUUUAGAUGUGGGUCAUGUUAAUAUGAAAUUGUAUGUUUAAGAUGCGAUUUCACCACAAAUUGUAUUUUAAACCUGUGGUUUUAAAAAAUUAGUUUAAUAAAUAGUUUGAAAAGUUAAUUAUUUACCUAAGUAGUUUAAUUUUUUUGAAUAUUCACAAAACAAAAAAAAAACUCUGCAAACUCUUGGUCCAUUUUUCAAACAAAAAAUAAAUCAUGUGUGUCCCAUGUAGUGUAAGUCUCAUCCCACAUGAAUAUUGGAUUGAAUAUUUGAUAAAUUCAUUUACAGUCCCAAACAUUACUGUUAAGGGGAAUUUGGUCAAAAUCCUCUCAUAAUAAGCUUUAAUGCAUUAAAGAUAAGUACAAAAAAAAUUUCUUGAAAAGUUCAACAUAUACUACUAUUACCAAAACAUUAAACUUUAAAAUAAUAUAACUUUUGAUCUAUAUGUCGAUUUUUAAUAAAAUUAGUAUUUUUAAAAUUCUCUCAUUAAGAUCUAUCAAAUAAGAUUCAUGUUGAUUGUGAGAUUCCUGAGUAGAUUGCUCAACAGAGGCUGCUUCUGUUGGCUGGAAAGGUGUUGUUGAUUAGUCUGGCAUGUCAGCUUCACAAGGAAAUAGUCUUCGAUGGCAAUGGUAUAAGGAUCCAAGAUUGGAUUGUCUUGGAUUCCGGGGGAUUUUUCCAUCCAAUACAAUACCACCUUUGGUUGAGGCUGACAAGGAAACUGAUGAAAAAAAUUAUCUUCUAUGGAGAUUAGAGAAAGGGGUUGCAGAAGGCUCAACGGAGAUCCCAAAAGAUUUCAAAUGGGAGAUUGGUCAGGACUUGGUGCGCACAUCAAAAAUCAGUGACUUGCUUGACAUUUUCUAGCGAUGAUUCAUUUCUUAUUUCUGGUUCAGAAGAUGGCAUGAUCAUUAUUUGGCCUAUGAUCGGGUAAAAAAAGUGAAUCUUCGUUUCUUCAACAAUUUAAUGUUUGUAUUUGAAUGUCGUUUAGUUUUAUUUUUCAGGAAAAAUAAAUAACUGACUUUGUAAUCACAUUGUUUGGUGGAAGUUUGGUCGACGAGACAAAUUGUUGGACUGUGGCUUUAAAACUAAAUUUUUCGUUGGAGCUUUCAUCCUCUAUAACGGGCCUAUUAACUGCAUCAAGUGGCUCAAGUUCAAUUUUUUUAUCAAACUCCCUCGAUGGCACAUGCAAGGUAUGGGGACCUUGUUACUGGAAGACUUUUUACAAACUCGAGCUUUUCUACUACCAAUUACUGCAAUAGUUGUUGAUCCAACAGAGAUGAAAUUAUUUUCUGGUGGUAUAGAUUACUAGUAGAUAUUUCUUUUUUGUAUACGGAGAUCAUUUUUGUAUGAUUAUCUGUUUGUAUAGAAUUAUUAUUUUGGGUUGGAUUAUAUUUGAUUUGUAUAGAAUUUGAUGUCACAAGACCAAAUUUUUGGAUGGUUGAAAGUGAAAUAGAAAUAGACAUAUGUAUUGUUUUGUUUAU